UACGGGGGGGGUAAGCGUUGUUCGGAAUUACUGGGCGUAAAGGGUCUGUAGGUGGCUUGCUAAGUCAGACGUGAAAUCCCUCAGCUUAACUGGGGAACUGCGUCUGAGACUGGCGAGCUUGAGUGCAGGAGAGGAACGCGGAAUUCCAGGUGUAGCGGUGAAAUGCGUAGAUAUCUGGAGGAACACCGGUGGCGAAGGCGACAUCCUGGACCGGUAUUGACGCUGAGGCGCGAAAGCCAGGGGAGCAAACGGG
rnacentral:rRNA from 1 species